GUGUGGAUCCAGGUCCAACUGACCCUUGUGAGGAUGGAGUGAACAGCUUGUCUGCAUCCAACGAUCUGUGCUUUUAUUUGAAGGAUCCUUCCGGACCAUUUGAAUCCUGCCUUGAGAUCGUGGAUCCAGACGACUACUAUGAUUCGUGCGUCUAUGACGUGUGUCUUACCGGUGAUGAUGCUCUGUGUUCCAGUCUUGCACAAUACGCUCGUGCCUGCAGGAGCAAGGGAGGGAAACCUGGCAGAUGGAGAUUGCUUGUGGAAGAAUGCCCACUGAACUGUCCUUCCAACACUGUGUACGACCCCUGCUUCAGUGGGCUGUC